rnacentral:rRNA from 1 species
UAGAUACCCUAUUAUACUGUGUUAAAAAUAAUUAUACUUGAGUAGUAUAUAGAUAUGAUCUCGAAACUUAAAGGAUUUGGCGGUAUUUUAGUCUAGUCAGGGGAACCUGUUUUUUAAACGAUAAACCACGAAGAAUCUUACUUUAUAUUUGUAUAAUCAGUUUGUAUACCGUCAUUGUUAGGUAAUUUUAAUAAAGAUUUAUUGGAAUAAAAUAUAUUUAAAUAUAUUAGAUCAAGGUGCAGCUUAUAUUAAAGUAGAUAAUGGGUUACAAUAUUAUUAAUAUACAACGAAAGAGAAAAAUGAAAUUAUUUUUGGAAGGAGGAUUUGAUAGUAAUAAAUUUUUAAUAAGAUUUUAUGAUAAAAGCUCUAUAAUAUGUACACAUCGCCC